UUCAGGGUGGUGGUGCUUCCUGCUGGGUCUGCAAUGCGACGGGCUAAUCCCACCAUCCAGAGCAUCUUACAGGGGUGCUCCUGAGACCCCAUGGCCACGAAUUUGUUUCCGUUCAGAUGGUCCGGCCUUCCUCCUCAGGUGUUUAAAAGGAGCAAGAACACAGCUGGAUUUCUAUCCAAAUCUCUGUCUCCUGGAUUUGCAAUUCCUAAAAAUACCACCAGAUACAACUUUUGUUUGCCUUGCACUUCUUGUUCCAAGCUGAUUGAUGUGGAGGUGCCAGCUAUGUAACAGAUCUGCGUUCGGCACUGGAGACACUGAGUAAACCACCAGCAUGAAAUCGAUGAGAAUGGCUUUAGAUGCUGACCGCAGAAUAAAGAGAUCUGGAAACUUUUCUGCAUUAAAUUAGCCACAGGAGGAUUCCACUGCAGUUUGGGGGGAUCUCCUUAUAAUCCAGUCUGACGGGCCAGAUGCUUCAUGUCUUCAUUUUUACCUGUACCAGUGCCUCCUAACAUCUGUCUCAGGAUGAUAACCAUUCCAAGAAGACAAAUAUAGGACUUCUGGGUGAAACAAAAUUGAACACAAUUCCUUACCACAGAACUUACUAGCACCUCACUCUCAAUCUCUUAGACAGGAGUUUCAUGCACAUUUGUGGCUCUUCUUUAGGGACUAAAAGCAAGUUUUCAAAUGUUACUUUAUUUUUUUAAAAAGCCUGAAAAGAGAAUCUAAAAUCUGAGACCAUACCUGUUCUGAGAAAUGGUGGGAAAAAAGCCCACAUGGAAAUAGAAACUAUUCUAUGCCUGAUGCUUUUGAGAUUUUGUCUUGUGUCUCCUUCACAGGAAAAGUCAUGGCAACUCCUGUAGGAAUUACACUAUAGGUCCUGAGUUUUGAAGUUCUCAUUCUCUUGCAGGUGUCAAUGCGAUUGAAUGUACUGUUUUGUUUCUUUUUAAAUUGGAAAAAUUAAAAAGUCACCAGGGACUCUAGUAAAUAUGAAAUCUCAGUGAUGUAUAUGACUAUGUUUGAGGAGUAAAAGCACAAGAGGUCAGACUCUAGAGGGAGAAAUGGUCAUAUAUGAGGGGGGAUCCCCAAACCCAGAAUUUACAUAUGAAGAAUUGUGGAUUCUUACAUGUUUAAACUUCAGUCACCUCCAAAGUACUCUCCGUCUGGUGCAAUACACCUGUCACGAAGUUUUCUCCACAGCUCAAAACAGGUUUUGAACUCGAUUUUGAUGCCUUUUAGCGCUUCUGCCAUUUUUUGUUUCACCUCUUCCACAUCAGCAAAACAUUUCCCUUUGAGGCCUUUUUUCAUCCAGGGAAACAAACAAAAAUUUCAGUCAGGGAGAGAUCGGGUGGAUAGGGCGGGUGAGGCAUGGGGCCAUGCUAUUUUUGGUCAAAAUCGGCUGAACACUCAGUGCAGGGAGGUACGCUCAUAAAUCACCUGUCGUGAAAUGGGCAAAUGUAUUGAAAGAGUCUUCAAAACAAUUCACUGAAGCUGAAUGUAGCCUCUCACAACACGACAGCUGGAACACUGAUGCAGCUGGGUUCCUAGAACACUCAACUGGGGAGGGAAGCCUGGACUACCGGGGCCCACCCUCCAGAAGAUAAUUCCAGGUUUUUUUGGCUCUCCCUUUGUAGCAGAGAUGAAGGAGCAGCACUCUGAA